rnacentral:rRNA from 1 species
GUAGUCAUAUGCUUGUCUCAAAGAUUAAGCCAUGCAUGUCUAAGUAUAAGCAAUUAUACCGCGAAACUGCGAAUGGCUCAUUAUAUAAGUUAUCGUUUAUUUGAUAGUACCUUACUACUUGGAUAACCGUGGUAAUUCUAGAGCUAAUACAUGCUAAAAAUCCCGACUUCGGAAGGGAUGUAUUUAUUAGAUUAAAAGCCAAUGCCCUCUGGGCUCUCUGGUGAUUCAUGAUAACUUCUCGAAUCGCAUGGCCUUGCGCCGGCGAUGGUUCAUUCAAAUUUCUUCCCUAUCAACUUUCGAUGUUUGGGUAUUGGCCAAACAUGGUUGCAAGGGGUAACGGAGGGUUAGGGCUCGACCCCGGAGAAGGAGCCUGAGAAACGGCUACUACAUCCAAGGAAGGCAGCAGGCGCGCAAAUUACCCAAUCCCGACACGGGGAGGUAGUGACAAUAAAUACUGAUACAGGGCUCUUUUGGGUCUUGUAAUUGGAAUGAGUACAAUUUAAAUCCCUUAACGAGGAACAAUUGGGGGGCAAGUUGGUGCCAGCAGCC